rnacentral:rRNA from 1 species
CCUACGGGCGGUUGCAGUGGGGAAUAUUGGACAAUGGGGGCAACCCUGAUCCAGCCAUGCCGCGUGUGUGAAGAAGGCCCUCGGGUUGUAAAGCACUUUCAGUGAGGAAGAACGCCUGGUGGUUAAUACCCAUCAGGAAAGACAUCACUCACAGAAGAAGCACCGGCUAACUCCGUGCCAGCAGCCGCGGUAAUACGGAGGGUGCGAGCGUUAAUCGGAAUUACUGGGCGUAAAGCGCGCGUAGGUGGCUUGAUAAGCCGGUUGUGAAAGCCCCGGGCUCAACCUGGGAACGGCAUCCGGAACUGUCAAGCUAGAGUGCAGGAGAGGAAGGUAGAAUUCCCGGUGUAGCGGUGAAAUGCGUAGAGAUCGGGAGGAAUACCAGUGGCGAAGGCGGCCUUCUGGACUGACACUGACACUGAGGUGCGAAAGCGUGGGUAGCAAACAGGAUUAGAUACCCCUGUAGUC